rnacentral:rRNA from 1 species
GACGAACGCUGGCGGCGUGCUUAACACAUGCAAGUCGAACGGAAAGGCCCGGCUUUUGUGGGGUGCUCGAGUGGCGAACGGGUGAGUAACACGUGAGUAACCUGCCCUUGACUUUGGGAUAACUUCAGGAAACUGGGGCUAAUACCGGAUAGGAGCUCCUGCUGCAUGGUGGGGGUUGGAAAGUUUCGGCGGUUGGGGAUGGACUCGCGGCUUAUCAGCUUGUUGGUGGGGUAGUGGCUUACCAAGGCUUUGAUGGGUAGCCGGCCUGAGAGGGUGACCGGCCACAUUGGGACUGAGAUACGGCCCAGACUCCUACGGGAGGCAGCAGUGGGGAAUAUUGCACAAUGGGCGGAAGCCUGAUGCAGCAACGCCGCGUGCGGGAUGACGGCCUUCGGGUUGUAAACCGCUUUCGCCUGUGACGAAGCGUGAGUGACGGUAAUGGGUAAAGAAGCACCGGCUAACUACGUG